rnacentral:rRNA from 1 species
CAGUCGCCACGGUAACACGGAGGGAGCUAGCGUUGUUCGGAAUUACUGGGCGUAAAGCGCACGUAGGCGGUUAUUCAAGUCAGAGGUGAAAGCCCGGGGCUCAACCCCGGAACUGCCUUUGAAACUAGUUGACUGGAAUCUUGGAGAGGUCAGUGGAAUUCCGAGUGUAGAGGUGAAAUUCGUAGAUAUUCGGAAGAACACCAGUGGCGAAGGCGACUGACUGGACAAGUAUUGACGCUGAGGUGCGAAAGCGUGGGGAGCAAACAGGAUUAGAUACCCCAGUAGUCCCUGUCUCUUAUAC